GUGAUGUGAUGUGAUCUUAGGACACCUUUGGAACACCCAUGAAAAAAAAAAAAAGAUUUCUGAGCAAC